GCAAUGUAGCAGCAAGCAUGGGAUAGGAGCGCUGGUGGACCUCUUGAUGGUCCGGACUAUUGACGUCGUUAUCGGCCCGCCUUGCCCUGAUGUUGUGGAGCCGAUCGGAGAGCUGAUGUCGUACAGAAACGUCGCGGUGAUCAAUUGGGUGUCGCAGCAGCAGAUGAUUAAGACCAAGGACGUGUUGACCACGUACAUACAAACGAUGACACCCGUCUAAUCUCUCGGUGGACUCACGACCAGAUUCUUGAAAGAUACAGGCUGGAAGAACUUUAUCAUCGUUCGGGAUAAAAAUAAGGAAUAUGACGCAUUGGCGGAGAUCUUGGAGUCCAC